AUUGAACGCUGGCGGCAGGCCUAACACAUGCAAGUCGAGCGGAUGAAGGGAGCUUGCUCCUGGAUUCAGCGGCGGACGGGUGAGUAAUGCCUAGGAAUCUGCCUGGUAGUGGGGGAUAACGUCCGGAAACGGGCGCUAAUACCGCAUACGUCCUGAGGGAGAAAGUGGGGGAUCUUCGGACCUCACGCUAUCAGAUGAGCCUAGGUCGGAUUAGCUAGUUGGUGGGGUAAAGGCCUACCAAGGCGACGAUCCGUAACUGGUCUGAGAGGAUGAUCAGUCACACUGGAACUGAGACACGGUCCAGACUCCUGCGGGAGGCAGCAGUGGGGAAUAUUGGACAAUGGGCGAAAGCCUGAUCCAGCCAUGCCGCGUGUGUGAAGAAGGUCUUCGGAUUGUAAAGCACUUUAAGUUGGGAGGAAGGGCAGUAAGUUAAUACCUUGCUGUUUUGACGUUACCAACAGAAUAAGCACCGGCUAACUUCGU
rnacentral:rRNA from 1 species